ensembl:lncRNA
UUGGAUUUAACAAGCGACAUCAAUAAGGGAUCAUGGCUAUCAACUGGAUUCACCUGGUCAGUUUAUGCCGUGGAAAGAGCAGGUCUCCUCAUUUUGGGCUUCUUUGAAGCCAAACGUGACGCACCAAACAGAGCGAUUUCUCCUAAACAAAUAACCUUUCAGGAAAAACUGAACAUUUGCUAUCUAACAGAGUCUCCUCAUUGAAAACAUCUGAAGUUCUUCAAAGGCUGCCAAUAAUUAUGGACCUAGCUGUAUAGGGAGGAGGUCAGAGACCUGGCAGUGUGGUGCCAGGAUAACAACCUCUCCCUCAACGUGAUCAAGACAAAGGAGAAUAUCGUGGACGACAGGAAAAAAAGAGGGCCGAGGACAUUGAGAGCUUCAAGUUCCUUGGUGUCCACAUCACCAACGAACUAUCAUGGUCCAAACACACCAAGACAGUCAUGAAGAGAGCAUGAGGAGACUGAAAAGAUUUGGGAAGUGUCCUCAGAUCCUCAAAAAGUUCCACAGCUGCCCCAUCGGGAACAUCUUGACUGGUUACAUCACUGCCUGGUAUUGCAACUGCUCAGCCUCCGACCACAAGGCACUACAGCGGGUAGUGGAUAUGGCCUAGUACAUCACUGGGGACAAGUUUCCUGCCAUCCAGGACAUCUAUACCAGGCGGUGUCAGAGGAAGGCCUUAAAAAUUGCCAAAGACUCCAGCCACCCUAGUCAUAGACUGUUCUCUCUGCUACCGCACAGUACCGGAGCGCCAAGUCUAGGUCCAAAAGGCUUCUUAACAGCUUCUACCCCC